rnacentral:rRNA from 1 species
GUAGGUGGCAAGCGUUGUCCGGAAUUAUUGGGCGUAAAGCGCGCGCAGGCGGUUCUUUAAGUCUGAUGUGAAAGCCCACGGGCUCAACCGUGGAGGGUCAUUGGAAACUGGAGUACUUGAGUACAGAAGAGGAAAGCGGAAUUCCACGUGUAGCGGUGAAAUGCGUAGAGAUGUGGAGGAACACCAGUGGCGAAGGCGGCUUUCUGGUCUGUAACUGACGCUGAGGCGCGAAAGCGUGGGGAGCAAACAGGAUUAGAUACCCUGGUAGUCCACGCCGUAAACGAUGAGUGCUAAGUGUUAGGGGGUUUCCGCCCCUUAGUGCUGCAGCUAACGCAUUAAGCACUCCGCCUGGGGAGUACGGCCGCAAGGCUG